rnacentral:rRNA from 1 species
GACGAACGCUGGCGGCGCGCUUAACACAUGCAAGUCGAACGGAAAGGCCUGCUUUCCCUUGUGGAUUUCGGGUACUCGAGUGGCGAACGGGUGAGUAACACGUGAGUGAUCUGCCCCCAACUUGGGUAUAAGCCUGGGAAACUGGGUCUAAUUCCCGAUAGGACUGCAGGGUGGUGCCUGUGGUGGAAAACGAUUUUCUAGUGGUUGGGGAUGAGCUCGCGGCCUAUCAGCUUGUUGGUGGGGUAAUGGCCUACCAAGGCGGCGACGGGUAGCCGGCCUGAGAGGGUGGACGGCCACAUUGGGACUGAGAUACGGCCCAGACUCCUACGGGAGGCAGCAGUGGGGAAUAUUGCACAAUGGGCGGAAGCCUGAUGCAGCGACGCCGCGUGGGGGAUGACGGCCUUCGGGUUGUAAACUCCUUUCGACCGCGAGGAAGCCACCUGGUUGGAAGGGUGGUGACGGUAGUGGUAGAAGAAGCACCGGCUAACUACGUG